rnacentral:rRNA from 1 species
UACGUAGGGUGCAAGCGUUAAUCGGAAUUACUGGGCGUAAAGCGUGCGCAGGCGGUUAUAUAAGACAGAUGUGAAAUCCCCGGGCUCAACCUGGGAACUGCAUCUGUGACUGCAAGGCUAGAGUACGGCAGAGGGGGAUGGAAUUCCGCGUGUAGCAGUGAAAUGCGUAGAUAUGCGGAGGAACACCAAUGGCGAAGGCAAUCCCCUGGGCCUGUACUGACGCUCAUGCACGAAAGCGUGGGGAGCAAACAGG